GGCUGGAGAGAUGGCUCAGUGGUUAAGAGCACUGACUGUUCUUCCAGAGGUCCUGAGUUCAAUUCCCAGCAACCA
rnacentral:tRNA from 1 species